CGCACACCUGUGUUCGGCUACACGCUCGCCGCGGCUUCGAAACGCACGAAAUCUCACGUUGUGGUCAUCAGUCGUAGCCUAGCAACGAACGAACCGGGUUCACGUGAGCGAUUAGAAGGGUUUUUAAAGUCGUAGUAGCUUCAUUUAUAGUUAUCAGUACUCUGUGAAAAGGUGUUUUUAUGUGUGCUGCCGUUGUCAAUUGGGUAAUUUUCGUUUUCUCGAGCAUCUUCUCAUCCUCCAAGAACAAAAUGUCGAUCGCCACGUACGAAGAGGUUCUGGAUCUCCCAAAUCACCCGGAAAAAUUGCUUAUCGACGUCCGGGGCGCCGAGGAGCUUGCGGAAACCGGCCAGAUUCCUACCAGUAUCAACAUUCCAUUGGAUCAGAUUAAGAUGGCUUUUUCGCCCGGCACCAACUGCGAUACGUUUCGUCGCCUGUACGGGAUCCCAAAGCCAGCGUUUGAUCACUAUAUAAUCCUGUCUUGUCGGACGGGAAGACGCAGCCAGCUGGCACUAGAAGAGAUCGCUGCGAUGGGUUAUUCCAAUGCCUGGACUGGAACAAGCGCUGAGUCUCCCGGCUGACGAGUUCAAGGCCAAAUAUGGUCGAGAUAAGCCCCAGCCCGAUACGGAAGUUAUCUUCCACUGCAAGCUUGGUGGGCGGGCGCAGAAAGCGGCCGACACAGCCACCAAUCUUGGGUUCACGAAUGCAAGAAACUACAAGGGCUCCUGGACCGAGUGGGCACAAAAACAGGGCAAAUGAGUUCAACUUGUUCUGAGAUUAUUAGCAUAAGCACUUAAGUGAAUAAAGUAAAUCAUAACAGUAUCUA